rnacentral:lncRNA from 1 species
AUGAGGUGCACAAAGCCUGUGCAAAGCAACCUGCUUGUGCAAGGCUAUCUUCUUGCACGAAGCAAACCCUUUCACAUUCGGCCCUGGUAUCAAAAUCUCAGCCCAGGUGGAAGCAUCAGCAGUGCUGAAAUAAACACAGCCACGCGUCACACGCGCUCACCACAAGCCGAUCACUUGCAGGACCAAGCUCAGCAUAAGCAAGCAGUGCUGCGUCGCUGCUCAGCAGAAGGCACACAGGCGUCCUCCUCAAGCACCGCACGGAUCCCAGCAGCAACACACACAGCUGCCCUGAUGCAGCGCGGGCAUUUGGCUGCUCCUCCUGUGCUGCCCACCAGCACUGCACACCUCCCGCGCCCUGACCUGUGCUCCUGCCCCACACUGCUGGCACACACCCAGACCGCGGGGACACUGCUGACCCUAAGAAGCCGGGCAGCUCCGUGCCGCUGGGGAAAAGGCACCGCUGUGCUGGACAGCUGAGCCUUCCAUGAGAUGACCAAUAAACCAGUCGUAUCAAUACUCAGCUCUAAUGCCCCAUUCUGUCAAUUCCGAAGUCUUCCCUACAAGUUAGAUGUAACUUCUACUUCUAUCAUUGUGUAGUUUAGUUGAAUUCAUUAUUGACAUAGGUGGCAGAGAGACUCAUAACAUAACAUGCUAUCCCACUAAUGUUACAAAAACAGAAUUCCACAAUCAGCUUCCACUCCAAACAAUAUAGGAAGAACUGAGUGUCUGACUGUGGUAGAAAUUCUCUCCUUGUUUGUGCAACUGAAAUCUCCUCUGUAAGCAUAGAGAAAAUUAAUUCAUGUUGCUGAUUUAAAUUGUCUCCACAGAUCAAGGUUUUAAGUUAGAGCUGUUCCUCGACAUCCACGUUCUGUCCAAAGCCUUUCAUAAUAGAGAAUUUGCUACUGGAACAGUAUCACUUGUUUUUCAUUUUAAUUUUAAAAGAAGAAACGGCUUUUUGCUAAGACAGCCCAGGAAAUGAAGAUUCCUGCCCCAGCAAAUUUGUUACUUAGGAGACAAGAGAUGGAGGCUUAGGAGCACAGUGGCUUCGUCUGUUCACACACAGAUGAGUACAUGAGAGCUAAACUUGCCUGGGACUCUCUGGCCAAUGAAGUGUGUCUCUGCUGGGAAGGGAUGCAUGACAGCCCCCUUACUGCUCUCUCUCCACUGACAACGAGCUUUCAAAAUGCCAUAAGGACAUAUAUUUAUUAACAGUUUCUUAAAGGCAGCAGAAACGAGUGAUACCUCCAAAAGAACCCCAUGUGACUCAGCAUAGUCGCCAUCAUCCUGCAUGGCGCGAUGGGCAACAUCAGAAGAUGCGGGGGCUGGGGGAAUCUUUGCUGUAGUGAUGACUCACAAAGCAACUCAGCAAAUAACAAUCUGAUUAUGAAAAGCAGUCUUCUGAACUGACUCACAGCCCAGGGCCUGAGGAUUUCACAGCAGGUAGUGGCCUCCUGUGGAAACCAGUUCCAUCUGUGAGCNNNNNNNNNNNNNNNNNNNNNNNNNNNNNNNNNNNNNNNNNNNNNNNNNNNNNNNNNNNNNNNNNNNNNNNNNNNNNNNNNNNNNNNNNNNNNNNNNNNNUAGCCGGCCCUGGCCCGCAAAGAGGCUCCGAAGGCGGCAGCCCCAAGGGCGAGGUGAGCGGCGGCGGCGGGGUCCGUGUGAGCGCAACUGCCGUCUCAGGGUCUGUAAGUGAGGGUGCAAAGCUCCGUGUGGAAAAGGCGAGGCUCUGAGCCAGCUGUCACCCACAGGACCUCCGUGUGGAGGCUGCCUCACAUGUUGGGGUGCCCAUCAGUGUGUUACCCCCUUGUGUAUUUCAUUUCCAGCCUCAAAUCUCUGCCCUUUGUAAGCUAGAUGUGUAAAAUACCGCUCUCUAAAGCUCCUCCUGGAGGAGAAGCAGCUGUUUCAUGUCCUCCCUGCAAUACACAUUCGUGAUGGUGGAAGUGACAGGAAUGCACUGGUGCUGUUCCCUCUGUGAAAUGGUUUUGUGUGAUGCCCGUAGCUAAAAGUAAUGAGAAUUUCAACCCCAAGCAGAAAUUAAUGAGCAAAGUGCAGUGGGAGAUUUGUCUGUGUCCCAGGUGUGUAAGAGCAGGUAAGAUGUCUGACAAGUUUAAAGUCGUUCUGAGCUCUUAAAAGUUCGCCUUCAGUUCUUCAGAAAGUUUCUUCUAGCUUCAUAACGUCAUACUUCUGGGAGUAAGCUGCCCAACAGGGUACUUUCGUACAUUGGAUCUGUGACACAGAGCUCUGAAAAUCAAUCUUGUAGUUGGAAAGUUUCUGUCACGUCUCAGUUCCAUGUCCUCUCCUUCCCAGAAAAUCUGUGGGAUGUCAUCCUGCUAAAGAUCUAGCAAGUGGGGUGAAAAAAGUGCUGAGCUUCCAGGAUUGUCAAAUCAUUCAUAAUGGGUAUACAGUAUUUGUGUUUUGAAAGGCGUUGGUUCAUGCUUUUAAGCACUGACUGUUCAGUUCAUAGAAUCGUUUGAGUUGGGAAGGACUCUUAAAGGCAUCAAAUCCAGCUCCCCUGCAAUGAACAGAGACACCUACAGCUAGAUCACAGUGCUCAGAUCCCCAUUCAGCCUGACCUUGAGUGUCUCCAGGGAUGGGGAAUUCACCACCUCUCUCGGCAACCUGUGCCAAUGCUUCACCACCUUUACAGUAAAAAUCUUCUUCUUCAUAUCCGAUGAAGAAUCUCUCAUCCAAUCUCUUCUCUUUUAGUUUGAAACAAUUUCCCCUUGUCCUGUCACAACAGACCCUGCUAAAGAGUCUGUCUCCUUCUUUCUUAUAGUCCCCCCACCCUUUAGAUACUGAAAAACACCAAGCCAGCCUCACAUAACAAUGCAUAAACAUGGCCUUUUAUGAAAUAUUUGAAACAUCCAUUAACAACAGAUUUCCCCACUGUCAGUUAAAUUUAGUAGUACUCUGUUGAACAGAAAUAACUCAAGAAUUAAUCACUCUUAGCUUAAAAACUGACAGCUAUUUUAAGCAGACGGCUUUUGGGGGGAAAAAAGCUGCACAAGUAUGUAUACUCAAAGGGACAAGUUAUGAACAUGCUCAUGUUAUGGUUAGGUUUAAAUUCAUUUUUUCGCUCACGCUUUUUGAACUGAGUUGUCAUGCUUCUGAACUUCAGAAUAUUUUGAGCCAGACAUAGCAAGGAUCCCUGGUUAUAUACAUACAUAUUUCAUUAAUGGCCAGGCAAGAUGUGGCUCUGGGCAACCUGGUCUAGUGGUUGGUGAUCCUGCACAUAGCAGGGAGUUGAAACUAGAUGGUCAUUGUGGUCCUUUUCAAUCCAGGAUGUUUUAUGAUUCUGUGAUAUGAUUCUAUGAUUAUAUGGUUGUCACUUCAUAGAAUCAUAGAAUCAUGGAAUCAUAGAAUCACUCAGGUUGGAAAAGACCUUAAAGAUCAUCGGGUCCAAACACAACCUAACCACACUACCCUAACUCUAAUAACUCUCCGCUAAAUCAUGUCCCUGAGCACCACAUCCAAAUGGUUUUUAAACACAUCCAGGGAUGGUGACUCAACCACCUUCCUGGGGAGCCUAUUCCAGUGCUUAACAACCCUUUCUGUAAGGAAGUUUUUCCUGAUAUCCAAUGUAAACAUCCCCUGGCCCAAUUUGAGGCCAUUUCCCCUCAUCCUGUCACCUGUCACCAGUGAGAAGAGACCAACCCCACUCUCACUGUAAGCGCCUUUCAGAUAUUGGAAGAGAUCAAUAAGAUCUCCCCGCAGCCUCCUCUUCCCUAUAUUAAAUAGCCCCAGUUCCUUCAGUCUCUCAUCAUAGGCCGUAUUCUCCAAGCCGUUCACAAGCCUUGUUGACCUUCUUUGGACCUGCUCCAGCACCUCCAUGUCCUUUCUGUACUGAGGUGCCCAAAACUGAACACAGUACUUGAGCUGUGGCCUCACCAAUGCCGAGUACAGGGCAAGAUGACUUCCCUAGUCCUGCUCACCGCUCCAUUCCUGACACAAGCCAGGAUGCCAUUGGCCUUCUUGGCCACCUGGGCACACUACUGGCUCAUAUUCAGCUGACUGUCCAUCAGUACACCAAGGUCCCUUUCCAUCAGGCAGCUUUCCAGCCACUCUUCCCCAAGCCUGUAGGGUUGCCUGGGGUUGUUGUGACCAAAAUGCAGGAUGCAAAUAGAGAAAUGAGUCUGCUGUCUUGUGGAAAUAAGUUAAUACCUGGCAAGGAAACUAACAGCUUCUCCUGCAGUAGUUAAUUAGUCUACUGCUAAUGUUACUUUAAGAGGAACCAUCCUCCCCACAUAGACUUCAGUCAGCUUUCUGUUGUGCCCAGUUAACAUCUUGAUUGCCUUUGAAUAAGUGCAGCUGGAUUUAAAUAUGCCCAUGGAAAUUUUUAAAAGUAAUAGUAACAUCAGUAUGUUUUCUGAAAUUUUAAGCUUUUGUUUUUGUUUGUUUUGAAAUAUCAACUUACUUUUACUGCAGUAAGUUGCAAACUCUGUUCAAAAAGCAGAAUGGCUGAUUUCAGUCUGCUUCAGCUGUGCUGAUCUGGUUCUGCUGGGUGUUUUGAGAUGUAGGGAGCAGAAGUCCUUGAGGUGGUCAGAGAGGGAGGGCAGUGGGAACAGGAGGCUGUGGGCCAACAGGGAGAAAAAGGAAGAGAAGCAAGGAACCGGGUGAUUGAUUUACUGUAUUUCUAUCUUAAUACUUUCAAAC